CAUACAAAACCCCGCCCCCCUUCCAAACACAGCCCCAACUCUCUCUCCCCUGCUGGCUCAACUCCUCACUCUCUCUUCUCCUCGACACCCAUGGAUUCUCUCACCCUCUUCUGCACCACUUUCCUCCUCGCCGGCGGCCUCUACUGGUUCGUCUGCGUUCUGGGCUCCGCAGAACAGAAAGGGAAGCAUGCCGCCCAACUCUCCGGCGGCUCCAUCGACAAGAGAAAGUCCAAGACAACUACAACAGUACUGGUCCUUCUUCGGCCGCCCCAAGGAGAUCGAGACCGCCGAGAAAGUCCCCGCUUUCGUCGACACCUUCUACAACCUUGUCACUGACAUUUACGAGUGGGGUUGGGGUCAGUCCUUCCAUUUCUCUCCCUCCAUCCCCAAGUCCUACCGGGACGCCACCAGAAUCCACGAGGAAAUGGCCGUCGAUCUCUUGGGUGUCAAGAAGGGUGCCCGCAUUCUUGAUGCCGGCUGUGGUGUCGGCGGCCCGAUGCGUGCCAUCGCCGCUCAUUCCGGUGCCAACGUCGUCGGCAUCACCAUUAACGAGUACCAGGUAAACCGAGCCCGGAUGCACAAUGAGAAAGCCGGCCUCGAUUCUCUGUGCGAAGUUGUCUGUGGCAACUUCCUGCAAAUGCCCUUCCCCGACAGCAGCUUCGACGGGGCUUACUCCAUCGAAGCCACCUGCCAUGCACCCAAUCUGGAGGAAGUCUACAGCGAGAUCUACCGAGUUUUGAAGCCCGGAUCCCUGUACGUCUCCUACGAAUGGGUCACCACCGAAUUCUACAACCCGGAAAAUCCGGAGCACGUCGAGAUAAUCCAUGGGAUUGAGAGGGGCGAUGCUCUUCCGGGGUUGAGGAGUUACAGGGACAUUGCCCAGAUAGCCAAGAAGGUGGGAUUCGAGGUGGUCAAGGAGAAAGAUUUAGCGAAGCCCCCCCAAGCCCUGGUGGACCCGGCUCAAGAUGGGCAGGAUUGCUUAUUGGAGGAACCACAUUUUGGUGACGGUUCUUACCUGGCUCGGGAUUGCCCCCAAAGGCGUGGUUGACGUCCACGAGAUGUUGUUUGUCACCGCAGAUUAUCUCACCAGAGGUGGUGAGACCGGGAUUUUCACUCCUAUGCAUAUGGUUCUCUGCAGAAAGCCUGAACAUAGCAAUUCUUCUGAUUAGAACGACUACCAAGAAGAAGAAGAUGCUGCUGCCGUUGCCGGUGCCUGUUCCAUGUAAUGCUAUCAGAUUAAUCAUGGAGGUCAAUUCCGGUGCACCUCGUUGUCUUUUGUUUCUUUUUUUCCCCUUCUUUUCCUAAUUAUCCAUGUUUAAUUUUGCUGUUUCAGGUUUAAUUUAACGUCAUUUUUCUUUAUUAUUAACUUAAUCUUGGAUAGCAAAAGAUCGGAACCAUCUCUCUGUCUCUCGUUGUGUUGUUGUUGUUUUUUUUUUUUUGGUCCUUUCGUUUAUUGGAACCAUCUUUUUAGUUGUAGUAGUAUAAGAGAAAUUUAAUCUGGAAAUCGAUUAAUAUUUUUCCUUUUUUUUUU